rnacentral:lncRNA from 10 species
UCAGUGGCAGGGUAGGGGUACCCAGAGCCAUGGCAGGAACCACCCCCUGCCCGCCCCCGACUAGAGGCUCAGCUUCCCUGCGUGCACCUAGCUCAGGAAGCCUUCCUUUCUAGUCUCUACAGCUGUUUCCCUCUUUUCCCAUCUCAUUCUUCCCUCUUCAUUUCUGGCCUAUCUUUUAACAUCUCCAUCCCUUUGAUGCCUCAUCCAUCUCCUCUUCACCGUCUUGUCUUUGCCUGUUCCCUUUUCUGCUUCUCUGCUCCUCUUAAGGCUGGGUUUUCCUCCUGCGUCUCCUCUGUGCGCCUGUGAGUGUCCCCUGUCUGCUCAUCCUCUCUCCCUCUGUCCACCUGUUUCUCUUUCUUCCAGCGUUUCUCCAUCUCACGCGCUGCCUCUGUCAUUUUCUCUCUUUCUUCGUCUUUCUCUCUCUCUCAUUGUUCUGAGACAUAGCAGUGCCUGGCCCAGCGGGGACAACAUGUUUCACAGACAAAUCAUCCAACAAAAGAGAGGAGGAACGUGCUUCAGGUGGCUGUCCCCAUGCCUUCUGCUCCCGCUUCUGGAAGGGAAGACAGGGCAGGGACCAUGUCCAGCUGCAGAAAAUCCCAGUGUUUUUCUGUGGCAUUGCCUGGUAAAGGCUGAACGUGGCUUUCGUGAGAGCUAAUCUGCCUGCCCAACCAGAUUGUGCUGUGGCUAAAAUUGCUGUGAGCUCGACAGUGCCUGAAGACUGGAGAAAACUGAGCCAUGUCUUGGAUGCUCUUGCGGGGCCUAGGGGAGUGCCAGGCCAGAAGGAGAACUGCCUGUGGACUCUCAGUAGGAAAGCAGCUAACGAGGUGAUGAGUGAGUGUCGCCUGGAAGUCUGGGGGCCAUUCCAUGUGGGUCACAUCGCCUGACCAGAGGGUUGGGUGCCUGGACAGGGCUGAGCUUGGGACUCCUUCCAGGGCCUGGCCUCAGCUGCUGGGCCUGCCGAGCAUGCCCCACAAGCACCCACGCACACAUACAAGUAUGGAGGCAGAGUGGAAGUUUGACUUUUGCAGAUCUCGUACAGCCUGGAGUAGAGAAGAGAAUUGGGAACUCUCAAUGUUGUGUGACCCUAGGCAAGUCCCUUCCCUGCCUUGUGCCUCAGUUUCCCUUUACAUACCAUGAGGAUGUUCCCAGUGUUGGUGUUUUAAUGCCUGCAGACAAGCUAAGCUCAUCAUCUGGUUCCCGGAAGAGAUCCUCCUUUUGUGGAAAGGCCACAGCCACUCUGCCACCCUGAGGCUCCCACUCCUCCUUCUCUGGAACCCUCUCCCUUGCCUGUAGGUCACGGGAAUGUCAAGAGCACCCAGGGAAGUGCCUGCUGCCAGUCAUCACUCACUGAUUAUGUGACAGCAGAGGAGCCAAGAAGCUGCUGGGAAUCGAGACACCCCCCCAUUCAGUCCCCACCAUCUCUGUCUUCAUGAGGUUCCCUGGGAGAAGCUCCUAUGUCUGGGAAUGGAAAUGUCUCCACCUGGAUAGGGACAAACAGGAGCUGGGGGCUGCAUCUUAAGACUUCUUGUCCCAUUAGUGCUGACCUCUGGAGACGGCUCCUGAAUUGUGCCCACUCCCCCACCUCCUCACCACACACAUGCUCUGGGCCGUGCGAGGCUCAGCUUGUCACGGACAAGCUAAAAUGAGGUGGCCUGAAUGCCCCUUAUCAUAGACAGCUUAUCUCCUGUGGUCACUCACCUGACAGACUCCAGAGAGCCACUCAGCGGGCCUCUCCCAGCCGCCUGCUUCUCAGCUCUGACUCUCCCUUGCCUUAAGGGGACACUGGAUUCCAGUGACCCUCCUAUUGGUCAGAGUUGGGCUGAGCACAGAGAAGGGGUAGAAUGCUCCUGGGAACUCGGAAAGCUCUGGGAUGCCAGCUUUUCCCACAUGUUCUCACUCACCCCUCUGUAAUACAGAUUCUGCAGCCCUGCCCCCCACACACACACUCCUACACCUCUGCUCUCAAAGUGAAGAAGUAGGCUAAUAUCUGUGGUACAUUUAUUUACCUACUCCCUGAGACUGCAGCUCCCUUAGUCAGUGUUGUGUCCUCCACUCAGGCUGGGGCUCCCUGAGGAUGGGGCUGUGUCUCCCCUCAGACUGGGGUUCCCCAAGGACAGGGCUGUGUCUCUCCUUAGGCUGGGGUCCCUGAGGGUGGGGCUGUGUCUCCCUGCAGAUUGGGGCUCCCUGAGGAUGGGGCUGUGUCUCCCUGAAGACUGGGGCUCCCUGAGGACAGGGCUGUGUCUCCCCUCAGGCUGGGGCUCCUUGAGGAUGGGACACUUUAAAGAAGAGAAAUUGACAGGUUGACCCUGGGGGAUCUUUGGGUCAAUAAAACAUUCUAUAGACCCUCAGUGGUCAGACUAGGAUGAUACCUUGAUGAUAGGUGGUUUUUUUGUUUGCUUGUGUGUGUGUGGUUUUGUUUUGUUGUUGUUUUGUCGUGUUUUGUUUUGCUGCUGUAGGUUUUUUAAAAUCUGGAGGUUUGGUUGUUCAUGAAGAUAGGAUGAAAAAGAAAGGAAAAAAGGAGGAAGGGAGAUAAAGAAGGAUGGAAGGAAGGAAGAGAGUGAGUGAGGGUUGGAAGAAGCAAAAGAAAGAAGAGAAAGGGA